rnacentral:rRNA from 1 species
GUGAACCUUUACUAUAGCUUGACACUGAACAUUGAGCCUUGAUGUGUAGGAUAGGUGGGAGGCUUUGAAGUGUGGACGCCAGUCUGCAUGGAGCCGGCCUUGAAAUACCACCCUUUAAUGUUUGAUGUUCUAACGUGGACCCGUGAUCCGGGUUGCGGACAGUGUCUGGUGGGUAGUUUGACUGGGGCGGUCUCCUCCUAAAGAGUAACGGAGGAGCACGAAGGUUGGCUAAUCCUGGUCGGACAUCAGGAGGUUAGUGCAAUGGCAUAAGCCAGCUUGACUGCGAGCGUGACGGCGCGAGCAGGUGCGAAAGCAGGUCAUAGUGAUCCGGUGGUUCUGAAUGGAAGGGCCAUCGCUCAACGGAUAAAAGGUACUCCGGGGAUAACAGGCUGAUACCGCCCAAGAGUUCAUAUCGACGGCGGUGUUUGGCACCUCGAUGUCGGCUCAUCACAUCCUGGGGCUGAAGUAGGUCCCAAGGGUAUGGCUGUUCGCCAUUUAAAGUGGUACGCGAGCUGGGUUUAGAACGUCGUGAGACAGUUCGGUCCCUAUCUGCCGUGGGCGCUGGAGAACUGAGGGGGGCUGCUCCUAGUACGAGAGGACCGGAGUGGACGCAUCACUGGUGUUCGGGUUGUCAUGCCAAUGGCACUGCCCGGUAGCUAAAUGCGGAAGAGAUAAGUGCUGAAAGCAUCUAAGCACGAAACUUGCCCCGAGAUGAGUUCUCCCUGACCCUUUAAGGGUCCUGAAGGAACGUUGAAGACGACGACGUUGAUAGGCCGGGUGUGUAAGCGCAGCGAUGCGUUGAGCUAACCGGUACUAAUGAACCGUGAGG